UUUUUUAUAAAAAUAAUUUAUUUAUUUAAGGUUUAAGUAUUUAGAAAAAAUUAAUUUUUAGAUUUAUAGUUUAAUAGUAUUGUAAAAGAAAUUGUUAAAUUUUAUAAAGAAUUUUAUAGUACCUUUUGUAUCAGGGUUGAUUAAAAUUUUUAAUUUUUUUUUAAUUUCUCAAAAUUUAUAGAGUUAAUUUUAUUAUUAAUUUAUUGUGGUAAAAAUAUUUAUAAAAUAAUAUUAGUUUUGAAAUUUAAUUCGUUAUAUUAUAUUUAGUUAUUUAAGAUUUAAAUUUAAUUUAAAAUUUUAAAAGUUGUAUUAAUUUUAUUGAUUAAUAUUUUAAAUUUAAAUUAUUUUAGGGAUAAGCUUGAAAUUUUAAUAUAAUAAUUUAUUUAUUUUAAUAAUUUAUAGGAAUAGAAAUUUUUAUUUAAGUUUGUAAAAAUUUAUUAUUUAUUUAAUUUUAAUUUAUUAUAUUUAUAUUUAUUUUUAAUAUUAAAUUUUAUUAAUUAAUAUUUAAUUAAUAGUAAUAAUGAUUAAAUUAGUAUAAUAUAUAAAUUUAUAAAUUAUGAAUUCGGCAAAAAUUAUUUUCAUCUGUUUAACAAAAACAUUGUAUUAAGUUUAAUUUAAUAUAGGAUCUGCUCAAUGAUUUAUUAAAUAGCUGCAGUAUUUUGACUGUGCAAAGGUAGCAUAAUAAUUAGUCUUUUAAUUGAGGACUUGAAUGAAAGAUUUGAUGAGAAAUAGACUUUAUUAUUUAUAAAAUUAAAAUUUUAUUUUUAAGUAAAAAAGCUUAAAUUAUUUAAAGGGACGAUAAGACCCUAUAAAACUUUAUAAAUUUUGAUUUUAAUUUUUUUGGAUUCAUAAAUAUUUUAUAAUUAAAAUUUAUUUUAUUGGGGUGAUAAAAAAAAUUAUUAAACUUUUUUUAAAAUUUAACAUUAUUUAAUGAUUAGUUGAAUUAAAAUUUUUAAUUAAAGGAAAAAGUUACUUUAGGGAUAACAGCGUAAUUAAUUUUUUAAGUUCAAAUUUAAAAAUUAGUUUGCGACCUCGAUGUUGAAUUAAGAUUAAUCUUAGGUGCAAAAUUUUAAGUAUUAGGUCUGUUCGACCUUUAAA
rnacentral:rRNA from 1 species